UUGUUCUUUGACCUUACUGUUCAUUUUUAACCGGGCUGAUACCAUUUUAACAUUAACAAAGCAUUUUUUUAUACCAGGUUCAAGAAUAUGAUUGCCGAACAGGCCAUGAAAGAGAGGCAGGUGACCAGAGAGGGAGAAGCACAGAUGAGGAGAGAGAGAGAGGAGGUGACAGAGGAAGUCCAGGUGAUGGAGGAUCAUCAGGUGACCAAAGAGAGGGAGAGAGAGCACAGGGAAAGGCAGCACAGGAGGCACAAAUGACCAGGUAACAUACCUUAGCCCUUGUACUGUGUUAGCUUUCUCUAUACAUGCUCCACGCCAGAAUAGAGGUGCAAGCUGCACUCCAGUGUGCCACCCUGUAUUGUGUGAUGUAUUGAGUGUUGCCAUGAAUUGUGCAUAAGACAUUUUCUGUUUGUACUUUAGUUGUGUCAAUACAGUGAUGCAAUUGAUUAA